rnacentral:rRNA from 1 species
AACGUAGGACGCAAGCGUUAUCCGGAGUUACUGGGCGUAAAGCGCGGGCAGGCGGUCUGGCCAGUCUGAUGUGAAAUCUCCCCGCUCAACGGGGAGCAGCCAUUGGAAACUACCAGACUGGAGUCUGACAGAGGUAGGCGGAAUUCCGGGUGGAGUGGUGAAAUGCGUAGAGAUCCGGAGGAACACCAGAGGCGAAGGCGGCCUACUGGGUCAGUACUGACGCUGAGCCGCGAAAGCCAGGGGAGCGAACGGG